rnacentral:rRNA from 1 species
GCACGUAGUUAGCUGGCGCUUAUUCUACAGGUACCGUCAUUCGCAGACUGUGUUAGCAUGCUGAGGUGUUCUUCCCUGACAAAGGAGCUUUACAACCCGAAGGGCUUCUUCACUCAGGCGGCAUUGGUGGAUCAGGGUUGCCCACCUAGUUGGCCUAAAUUCCCCA